CUUUUGCCAGUUCUAAAAAUACUAGUGAAUAAGGGGUGGGCAAGUUCUGGUGUCAGCCGCCGCGGUAAAACCAGCACCUCAAGUGGUCAGGAGGAUUAUUGGGCCUAAAGCAUCCGUAGCCUGCUCUGUAAGUUUUCGGUUAAAUCUAUAUGCUCAACGUAUAGGCCGCCGAAAAUACUGCAGUGCUAGGAAGUGGGAGAGGUAGACGGUACUUGAUAGGAAGGGGUAAAAUCCUUUGAUCUAUCGAUGACCACCUGUGGCGAAGGCGGUCUACCAGAACACGUUCGACGGUGAGGGAUGAAAGCUGGGGGAGCAAACCGGAUUAGAUACCCGGGUAGUCCCAGCUGUAAACGAUGCAGACUCGAUGAUGCAUUGGCAUCUAGCCAGUGCAGUGUCGCAGGGAAGCCGUUAAGUCUGCCGCCUGGGAAGUACGUACGCAAGUAUGAAA
rnacentral:rRNA from 1 species